rnacentral:rRNA from 1 species
AGUCGAGCGAACAGACGAGGAGCUUGCUCCUCUGACGUUAGCGGCGGACGGGUGAGUAACACGUGGAUAACCUACCUAUAAGACUGGGAUAACUUCGGGAAACCGGAGCUAAUACCGGAUAAUAUAUUGAACCGCAUGGUUCAAUAGUGAAAGACGGUUUUGCUGUCACUUAUAGAUGGAUCCGCGCCGCAUUAGCUAGUUGGUAAGGUAACGGCUUACCAAGGCGACGAUGCGUAGCCGACCUGAGAGGGUGAUCGGCCACACUGGAACUGAGACACGGUCCAGACUCCUACGGGAGGCAGCAGUAGGGAAUCUUCCGCAAUGGGCGAAAGCCUGACGGAGCAACGCCGCGUGAGUGAUGAAGGUCUUCGGAUCGUAAAACUCUGUUAUUAGGGAAGAACAAAUGUGUAAGUAACUAUGCACGUCUUGACGGUACCUAAUCAGAAAGCCACGGCUAACUACGUGCCAGCAGCCGCGGUAAUACGUAGGUGGCAAGCGUUAUCCGGAAUUAUUGGGCGUAAAGCGCGCGUAGGCGGUUUUUUAAGUCUGAUGUGAAAGCCCACGGCUCAACCGUGGAGGGUCAUUGGAAACUGGAAAACUUGAGUGCAGAAGAGGAAAGUGGAAUUCCAUGUGUAGCGGUGAAAUGCGCAGAGAUAUGGAGGAACACCAGUGGCGAAGGCGACUUUCUGGUCUG